GACGAACGCUGGCGGCGUGCUUAACACAUGCAAGUCGAGCGGUAAGGCCCUUUCGGGGGUACACGAGCGGCGAACGGGUGAGUAACACGUGGGUGACCUGCCCUCAGCUCUGGGAUAAGCCUGGGAAACUGGGUCUAAUACUGGAUAUGACUCCACGGUGCAUGUCGGUGGGGUGGAAAGCCUUGUGCGGCUGAGGAUGGGCCCGCGGCCUAUCAGCUUUGUU
rnacentral:rRNA from 1 species